GAAAGAGUUCCUAGGGAAAGAAGGCAGAGGCAGUCUGUGCUGCAGAAGAAGCCCAAGGCUGAAGACUUAAGAACUGAAUGUUCAACUUGCAAAGGAACUGGAGAGAAUGAGAAUCUCGUCAGAUGUGAUGAAUGCAGACUGUGCUACCAUUUUGGCUGUUUAGAUCCUCCUUUGAAAAAAUCUCCUAAACAAACAGGCUAUGGAUGGAUAUGUCAGGAAUGUGAUUCUUCAUCUUCUAAGUGUACAGCAUGACAUUUUCCUAUAUAUGUGUCAUUGUGAGAUGCAACCCUUUAAGGAAGAUGAAAAUGAAGCUGGAAAGAAAAAUGCAUCUCAGGAGCUCAGCAUGGAGCAGAAAAACCCAAAGAAAUAAUGAAGGAUGGUCUAGUGUUUUCUGAAGAGUUUACAACUUACGCUGAGGCUGAUAACAUUUCUAAUUUGUAAAAUGUUAAUUGUAAAAUCUAAUUAACAAAACUCUUCUCAAUAAAGUCCUUGAAAUAGGA
rnacentral:lncRNA from 1 species